rnacentral:rRNA from 1 species
AGAGUUUGAUCCUGGCUCAGGAUGAACGCUGGCGGCGUGCUUAACACAUGCAAGUCGAACGGGAAACCUUUUAUUGAAGCUUCGGCAGAUUUAGAUUGUUUCUAGUGGCGGACGGGUGAGUAACGCGUGGGUAACCUGCCUUAUACAGGGGGAUAACAGUCAGAAAUGACUGCUAAUACCGCAUAAGCGCACAGAGCUGCAUGGCUCGGUGUGAAAAACUCCGGUGGUAUAAGAUGGACCCGCGUUGGAUUAGCUAGUUGGUGAGGUAACGGCCCACCAAGGCGACGAUCCAUAGCCGGCCUGAGAGGGUGAACGGCCACAUUGGGACUGAGACACGGCCCAGACUCCUACGGGAGGCAGCAGUGGGGAAUAUUGCACAAUGGGGGAAACCCUGAUGCAGCGACGCCGCGUGAAGGAAGAAGUAUCUCGGUAUGUAAACUUCUAUCAGCAGGGAAGAAAAUGACGGUACCUGACUAAGAAGCCCCGGCUAACUACGUGCCAGCAGCCGCGGUAAUACGUAGGGGGCAAGCGUUAUCCGGAUUUACUGGGUGUAAAGGGAGCGUAGACGGAUGGACAAGUCUGAUGUGAAAGGCUGGGGCUCAACCCCGGGACUGCAUUGGAAACUGCCCGUCUUGAGUGCCGGAGAGGUAAGCGGAAUUCCUAGUGUAGCGGUGAAAUGCGUAGAUAUUAGGAGGAACACCAGUGGCGAAGGCGGCUUACUGGACGGUAACUGACGUUGAGGCUCGAAAGCGUGGGGAGCAAACAGAAAGAGAUACCCUGGUAGUCCACGCGGUAAACGA